GGUGCCUAUAGUUCCACCUAUUUGGGAGCCUGAGGCAAGGAGGAUCUCUUGAGUCCAGGAGUUAUGGCUAUAGUGUGCUCUACCAACUGAGUGUCCACACUAAGUUUGGCAUCAAUAUGGUGACCUCCUGGGGGUGGAGGACCACCAGGUUGCCUAAAGAAGGGUGAAUCAGCAGGGCUCAGAAACAGAGCAGGUCAUAACUCCCAUGCUGAUCAGUAGUGGGAGCGCGCCUGUGAAGAGCCAUGGCACUUCACUCUGGGCAACAUAGAGAGACCCUGUCUCU
rnacentral:SRP_RNA from 1 species